rnacentral:antisense_RNA from 1 species
UCAAUGGCGGCUGUACGUGGGAGGCCUUCGGGCCUGCCGGGUUCCUACAUCCACGGUCUUGCACACCCACGUACAGCUGCCUCCA